CUGACUCGGUGAAUGGUGUCAGGUUCGCCGGUAGAGAAAAUAGUGGAGACAAAUGAGCCGUGAUCGGAGGAGAGGUACUGGAUGGUCAAGAGAAGGACAAUGGGGAGGAGGAGGAGACCUACUGGGCUUAAGAGCUCGGCGAUGGCUUCAGUAAUGGCCUCACCUUGGUCGCCGAGGAGGAAGGGGGCAAGCACCACCAUGCACACUACUACUGCUAUUAUGAUUCCAUGGGGUGUACCGCCGUGAGCUCUGCCUUCCAUCAUUUUUUUGGUGCGCUAUGGUUUUCCC
rnacentral:misc_RNA from 1 species